rnacentral:rRNA from 1 species
GACGAACGCUGGCGGCGUGCCUAAUACAUGCAAGUAGAACGCUGAAGGAGGAGCUUGCUCUUUCCGGAUGAGUUGCGAACGGGUGAGUAACGCGUAGGUAACCUGCCUGGUAGCGGGGGAUAACUAUUGGAAACGAUAGCUAAUACCGCAUAAUAGUAGAUGUUGCAUGACAUUUGCUUAAAAGGUGCAAUUGCAUCACUACCAGAUGGACCUGCGUUGUAUUAGCUAGUUGGUGAGGUAACGGCUCACCAAGGCAACGAUACAUAGCCGACCUGAGAGGGUGAUCGGCCACACUGGGACUGAGACACGGCCCAGACUCCUACGGGAGGCAGCAGUAGGGAAUCUUCGGCAAUGGACGGAAGUCUGACCGAGCAACGCCGCGUGAGUGAAGAAGGUUUUCGGAUCGUAAAGCUCUGUUGUAAGAGAAGAACGAGUGUGAGAGUGGAAAGUUCACACUGUGACGGUAUCUUACCAGAAAGGGACGGCUAACUACGUGCCAGCAGCCGCGGUAAUACGUAGGUCCCGAGCGUUGUCCGGAUUUAUUGGGCGUAAAGCGAGCGCAGGCGGUUAGAUAAGUCUGAAGUUAAAGGCUGUGGCUUAACCAUAGUACGCUUUGGAAACUGUUUAACUUGAGUGCAAGAGGGGAGAGUGGAAUUCCAUGUGUAGCGGUGAAAUGCGUAGAUAUAUGGAGGAACACCGGUGGCGAAAGCGGCUCUCUGGCUUUGUAACUGACGCUGAGGCUCGAAAGCGUGGGGAGCAAGCAGGAUUAGAUACCCUGGUAGUCCACGCCGUAAACGAUGAGUGCUAGGUGUUAGACCCUUUCCGGGGUUUAGUGCCGUAGCUAACGCAUUAAGCACUCCGCCUGGGGAGUACGACCGCAAGGUUGAAACUCAAAGGAAUUGACGGGGGCCCGCACAAGCGGUGGAGCAUGUGGUUUAAUUCGAAGCAACGCGAAGAACCUUACCAGGUCUUGACAUCCUUCUGACCACUCUAGAGAUAGAGUUUUCCUUCGGGACAGAGGUGACAGGUGGUGCAUGGUUGUCGUCAGCUCGUGUCGUGAGAUGUUGGGUUAAGUCCCGCAACGAGCGCAACCCUUAUUGUUAGUUGCCAUCAUUCAGUUGGGCACUCUAACGAGACUGCCGGUAAUAAACCGGAGGAAGGUGGGGAUGACGUCAAAUCAGCAUGCCCCUUAUGACCUGGGCUACACACGUGCUACAAUGGCUGGUACAACGAGUCGCAAGCCGGUGACGGCAAGCUAAUCUCUUAAAGCCAGUCUCAGUUCGGAUUGUAGGCUGCAACUCGCCUACAUGAAGUCGGAAUCGCUAGUAAUCGCGGAUCAGCACGCCGCGGUGAAUACGUUCCCGGGCCUUGUACACACCGCCCGUCACACCACGAGAGUUUGUAACACCCGAAGUCGGAGAGGUAACCUUUUAGGAGCCAGCCGCCUAAGGUGGGAUA